UCAAAGGCCCUUUUCAGGGCCCCCCAUUUUUUCAUCUAAAGAGCUG
rfam:Sarcophilus harrisii ctg7180002498289, whole genome shotgun sequence.